UUGGGGACCCCUGGAUUAGAUCAUGUGGUCUAGGUUAUUCAAAAGCACUUGUCUGGCUUGGAAGCCUCCAGGCUUGUCCUCCUUCAUAGGGUAUGAGCCGGUUCCCAGACCCUGCUGUGGCCCAGGAACUUCUCAAAGCCACGGCGGGGCUAGCCGAAGCUUUCGCCAACCUGUUGCAAGAAAAGGAGCAACUGCAAGCAUCCCUUGAGACAUUAGUGACCCAGCUCAGGGCUGUGAAUCAGCGGCUGCAGAAGGAGAUCCAAGCGCCCCAGGAGGUGGCCCGGCUCAGGGCUGAGAACCAGCAGCUUCAGCAAGAGCUCCAGGAGGCCAGGAGAAGACAGAGGACGGGAAACCUAAUGUUUAUGUUUCCGUGGUCUAAAAGAGUUUUCCCUAUCCAGGUCCUUGUCACUGGGAAGACCGGAGGUUGUGAAAACCAGUUCUUAAAGAAGGUCUCUGACCACCUUUCCGAUCAUUUUAUGUACCUCAAGCUGGAAAUGUACCAAGAGGGCUCCAGCCACUUCUUGGUGGUCUUCUGCCCGGUGGCAACCUCAGUGGGCAGCGACAUGGCCAACGCUCUCGAGGGUCUUGGCGGAGCGACUUGAGAAACUGCAAGUGCAUGGGGAGCUGGAGCUGACAGAGGAAGCUCAUCCACACUCUCCUCGGAUUUGAACCGACAACCUUUAAGUCAGCAACCCAAGCUUCAGGUCAGCAGUCCUGCCAGCAGAAUGGUUUAAGCCAUUGCGCUGGGGAAGGGCCUCCAGUACUUCUGAGGAUACCUGCUAUAGAUGUGGGUGAAACGUCAGGAGAGAAUGCUUCUGGAAUAUGGCCUUAUGCUCCGGUACCUCUGAGAAUGCUUGCUAUAGAUGUUGUCGACCGCGCUUUAGGGGAUCGGGCCCUUAAGGAGAGUCCCGAUCCGGUCCUGAGAGAACGGACCUUGGCGGAGCCGAUAGGAGAAUAUGAGCCGCAAUACAACCUGAAGCCGAAAUGAAGAAGGUCCGCCAAAGUUGAAGGAAAAUCCGCCAAGGAGUCUUUAUUGAGCGAUUCAGCUGAAAAGGACUCUAGUAGUGAUCAUUCAGUCUACUAGGGUACCAUAUAACCAAAAUAAAGCCAUAUUUAUACAAUGUUUCAGUCUGACAGCCCUUUGAAUUUCCCGCCCCGCUCCCCCGCCCAUCUGAUCGCGGAUAGGCUAGAGUGUUGAACGAGGCGGGCUUUCGUUUCCCGCCUUGCUCUGCUGGCCCAAUAGGGAGCUGCUUUUUGUCCCCACUCGGGCCAAUCAGAGAGGAGAAGGCGGGAGUUAUUGAAACAAUGAAGUGACUGAGCAGGAAAGAUCGGAUUAAUUCCUGCCCGGCCGAAUUCUAAAGGGAUUAAUGACAGCAAUCAAGGGUUCCUGUCAUGUACACAGAUUUCAGAUAUGCCUUGGGGUGUCAGAGGUGGAAACAAGGAUGGGUGGCGAUGGGCUCAGCAGGGCGCCUUCCUGAGGUGUCCUGGAUUUCCUUUUGGAGGAGAUAUGACAAUGUUUGCCUUGAGGGCGAAUCACCUUUAGGACAACACUCCGAAUUCGGCGACUCAAGCCCUAUAUUGUCCAUGCAAUCUGAAUCUGAUUAGGUUAAGCAGCAGCGGAUUAACCUUUUGUUUUUGGGAAGGUAAGCCUGGGUCAUAGAAAAUGGGGCAGGUCCUGGGGUUCAAGUUGAGUUCGAAAUAUUCCCUAUCUGAUUUCAUGACUUGGCAAUUAUAUGAAAUAAAAUGAAAAAUAAAAUAAAGUUGGAAUAUAAACCCAGCUGGGAAAAAUACAUAUUUUCCGGGGAUCCCAAAGAGUACAAAUACAUAUAGG
rnacentral:lncRNA from 11 species